GAUGAACGCUAGCUACAGGCUUAACACAUGCAAGUCGCAGGACUGGCGCACGGGUGAGUAACGCGUAUCCAACCUUCCCAUGACCCCGGGAUAACCCGUUGAAAGACGGACUAAUACCGUAUGGUGCAGGAUGGGGAUGCGUCUGAUUAGCUUGUUGGCGGGGUAACGGUCAACCAAGGCGACGAUCAGUAGGGGUUAUGAGAGGAAGGGCCACCACAUGGGAAAUGAGAAAAGGUCCAAACGCGUACGGGAGGAAAAAGGGAGGAAUAUUGGGUAAUGGGCGAGAGCAUGAACCAGCUAAGUAGCGUGAAGGACGACGGCCUAUGGGUUGUAAACUGCUUUUAUGCGGGGAUAGGGACCGAAUGAAUAAGGACCGGCUAAUUCCGUGCCAGCAGCCGCGGUAAUAC
rnacentral:rRNA from 1 species